rnacentral:rRNA from 1 species
GCGGUACAGUGGCGCACGGGUGAGUAACACGUGGAUGACCUUCCCUGGAGUGGUGGAUAACCUGCCGAAAGGCGGGCUAAUACAGCAUGGGACUACGACGCCCUGGCAAUGUAGUGAAAGCGGGCCUCUAUAUAUAAGCUCGCGCUCCGGGACGGGUCCGCGUCCCAUCAGCUAGUUGGUGAGGUAACGGCUCACCAAGGCGACGACGGGUAGCUGGUCUGAGAGGAUGGCCAGCCACACUGGAACUGAGACACGGUCCAGACUCCUACGGGAGGCAGCAGUGGGGAAUCUUGCGCAAUGGGCGAAAGCCUGACGCAGCGACGCCGCGUGGGCGAAGAAGGCCUUCGGGUUGUAAAGCCCUGUGGGGGAGAACGAACCGCACGGCGCUUAAUACGUGACGUGCCUGACGGUACUCCUUUAGCAAGCAUCGGCUAACUCUGUGCCAGCAGCCGCGGUAAGACAGAGGAUGCAAACGUUGCUCGGAAUUACUGGGCGUAAAGUGCGUGUAGGCGGCUUGGUAAGUCGGACGUGAAAUCCCGGGGCUCAACCCCGGAAGGGCGCUCGAUACUGCCGAACUUGGGUCCUGAAGAGGAGAGCGGAAUUCCCGGUGUAGAGGUGAAAUUCGUAGAUAUCGGGAGGAACACCAGUGGCGAAGGCGGCUCUCUGGGCAGGUACCGACGCUGAGACGCGAAAGCGUGGGAAGCAAACAGGAUUAGAUACCCUGGUAGUCCACGCUGUAAACGAUGACAACUGGGUGUUGCGGGUAUUGACUCCCGCUGCGCCGAAGCUAACGCGUUAAGUUGUCCGCCUGGGAAGUACGGCCGCAAGGCUAAAACUCAAAGGAAUUGACGGGGGCCCGCACAAGCGG